rnacentral:sRNA from 18 species
AUCAAUUAAUCUUAAAUACCACACACACAUCUAUAACCCGCUCCGGGGUGCCUACAUGGUCGGAGUGAGGGAUGUGUGGAGGCCCAAC